rnacentral:rRNA from 1 species
UGCCUUACACAUGCAAGUCGAACGGCAGCACGGGGGCAACCCUGGUGGCGAGUGGCGAACGGGUGAGUAAUGCAUCGGAAUGUACCCAGUAGUGGGGGAUAACUAGUCGAAAGACUGGCUAAUACCGCAUACGCACUACGGUGGAAAGCGGGGGAUCGCAAGACCUCGCGCUAUUGGAGCAGCCGAUGUCCGAUUAGGUAGUUGGUGGGGUAAAAGCCUACCAAGCCUGCGAUCGGUAACUGGUCUGAGAGGACGACCAGUCACACUGGGACUGAGACACGGCCCAGACUCCUACGGGAGGCAGCAGUGGGGAAUUUUGGACAAUGGGCGAAAGCCUGUUCCAGCAAUGCCGCGUGUGUGAAGAAGGCCUUCGGGUUGU